GAUGAACGCUAGCGGCAGGCUUAACACAUGCAAGUCGAGGGGUAACAUUAGUGCUUGCACUAGAUGACGACCGGCGCACGGGUGAGUAACGCGUAUGCAACCUACCCAUAACUGGGGAAUAGCUUUCGGAAACGGAAAUUAAUACCCCAUAGUAUUAUAAUACCGCAUGGUAUAAUAAUUAAAGCUCCGGCGGUUAUGGAUGGGCAUGCGUGCCAUUAGCUAGUUGGUGAGGUAACGGCUCACCAAGGCAAUGAUGGCUAGGGGGUCUUAAAGGAUGGUCCCCCACACUGGUACUGAGACACGGACCAGACUCCUACGGGAGGCAGCAGUGAGGAAUAUUGGGCAAUGGGCGCAAGCCUGACCCAGCCAUGCCGCGUGCAGGAAGACAGCCCUAUGGGUUGUAAACUGCUUUUAUAUGGGAAGAAAACGUUCUACGUGUAGGGCGCUGACGGUACCAUAAGAAUAAGCAUCGGCUAACUCCGUGCCAGCAGCCGCGGUAAUACGGAGGAUGCAAGCGUUAUCCGGAUUUAUUAGGUUUAAAGGGUGUGUAGGCGGGAGUCUAAGUCAGUGGUGAAAUCUUUCGGCUCAACCGGAAAACUGCCAUUGAUACUGGAUUUCUUGAGUAUAGUUGAGGUAGGCGGAAUGUGUAAUGUAGCGGUGAAAUGCAUAGAUAUUACACAGAACACCGAUUGCGAAGGCAGCUUACUAAGCUAUUACUGACGCUGAUGCACGAAAGCGUGGGUAGCGAACAGGAUUAGAUACCCUGGUAGUCCACGCCGUAAACGAUGAUUACUCGUUGUUGGCGAUAUAUUGUCAGUGACUGAGCGAAAGCAUUAAGUAAUCCACCUGGGGAGUACGUUCGCAAGAAUGAAACUCAAAGGAAUUGACGG
rnacentral:rRNA from 1 species